rnacentral:rRNA from 1 species
GAACGCUGAAACCAGAGCUUGCUUUGGUGGAUGAGUGGCGAACGGGUGAGUAACACGUGGGUGAUCUGCCCUACACUUUGGGAUAAGCCUGGGAAACUGGGUCUAAUACCGAAUAUUCACACCACCGUAGGGGUGGUGUGGAAAGCUUUAUGCGGUGUGGGAUGAGCCUGCGGCCUAUCAGCUUGUUGGUGGGGUAAUGGCCUACCAAGGCGUCGACGGGUAGCCGGCCUGAGAGGGUGUACGGCCACAUUGGGACUGAGACACGGCCCAGACUCCUACGGGAGGCAGCAGUGGGGAAUAUUGCACAAUGGGCGCAAGCCUGAUGCAGCGACGCCGCGUGGGGGAUGACGGCCUUCGGGUUGUAAACUCCUUUCGCUAGGGACGAAGCCUUAUGGUGACGGUACCUGGAGAAGAAGCACCGGCUAACUACGUGCCAGCAGCCGCGGUAAUACGUAGGGUGCGAGCGUUGUCCGGAAUUACUGGGCGUAAAGAGCUCGUAGGUGGUUUGUCGCGUCGUCUGUGAAAUCCCGGGGCUUAACUUCGGGCGUGCAGGCGAUACGGGCAUAACUUGAGUGCUGUAGGGGAGACUGGAAUUCCUGGUGUAGCGGUGAAAUGCGCAGAUAUCAGGAGGAA